GACGAACGCUGGCGGCGUGCCUAAUACAUGCAAGUUGAGCGCUGAAGGUUGGUACUUGUACCAACUGGAUGAGCAGCGAACGGGUGAGUAACGCGUGGGGAAUCUGCCUUUGAGCGGGGGACAACAUUUGGAAACGAAUGCUAAUACCGCAUAAAAACUUUAAACACAAGUUUUAAGUUUGAAAGAUGCAAUUGCAUCACUCAAAGAUGAUCCCGCGUUGUAUUAGCUAGUUGGUGAGGUAAAGGCUCACCAAGGCGAUGAUACAUAGCCGACCUGAGAGGGUGGUCGGCCACAUUGGGACUGAGACACGGCCCAAACUCCUACGGGAGGCAGCAGUAGGGAAUCUUCGGCCAUGGACGAAAGUCUGACCGAGCACCGCCGCGUGAGUGCAGAAGGUUUUCGGAUCGUAAAACUCUGUUGGUAGAGAAGACCGUUGGUGAGAGUGGAAAGCUCAUCAAGUGACGGUAACUACCCAGAAAGGGACGGCUAACUACGUG
rnacentral:rRNA from 1 species